UGGGUUGCUUAAUGGGUGGCUUCACCUAUU
rnacentral:piRNA from 1 species